AUCUCCAGAUUCAACCAUUUCCAUCACUAUUGACCUCUGCCUGCAGUCCACUAAAAUGAUCAGAUAUCCUGGAACUGAAUCAGUGUGUUGAUUAACUUGUUGAUUACCAGUCCAAAAAAUUCAGAAGCACCAUACUGUUUUCCAAAGCAGCUAUGCCAUUUGACAUUCCCACCAACAGUCCACGACGGUUCCAACUUCUCCACAUCCUUAUCAACACUUGUUAUUUUCUGUUUCUUUGACAGUAGCCAACCUGAUGGAUGUGAGAAGAUAUUUCAUUGUGGUUUUGAUUUCCACUUCCCUAAUUAUUUGUGAUAUCAAACAUCUUUUUAUAUGCUUUUUGACCAUUUGUAUAUCUUCUUUGGAGAAAUGUCUAUUCAAGUCCUUUGCCUAUAUUUUAAUCAGGUUAUUUGAAUUUUUAUGUUGUUGAGUUGUACAAGUUCUUUGUAUAUUCUGGAUAUUAAGCCCUUAUCAGACAUAUGAUUUGCAAAUAUUUUCUCCCAUUUUCUCUAGGUUGCCUUUCACUCUGUUGAUUGUGUUCUUUGAUGCACAGAAGCUGUUUAUAUUUUUAGAAGUUUUCAAUUCUGAUGAGGUUUAGUUCAUCUAGUUUUACUUUUGUUGCCUAAAACCACAGUUCUUCAGUUAGCUUUUUACACUGUAUACAAAUUAAUUAGAAUUCUAUAUCCAUCAUUGAAUUUAGUGCUGCUCCCAUUUGGCAAUAAUUUCCAGUAGUUUUUCAAUGUUUUUGCUUCAUGGAUGAGAUGAUGACAUCAUCAUUUUAAAGUGUUAAUUGAGUUGAUGAAAAUACAGAGAUUAGGGUAUAUUUAGAGAAAAGAAUUUUUUGCCCAGCCAAAUUUAUGCUACCCACUCUUUUCUGGUUAAAAGUAAAAGGAUUUUUAAAUUACCAUAUAUUUUAGCUUUCGUAAGCAUAAUAAAAGGGAGAAAAUUAUGCUUUAAAUAUAUAAUCAGAAAUCUAUGCAUUUGAAACCAAUCAACCAAUCAAAGCAAAAGAUAUUAUUACUUUCUAUAAGUACAAUUAACACAGUCUGCCAUUCUCCAAAAACCAAAUCUUUUGAUCUACAUUGGGACUAAACAGGAGUUUCUUUGUAUACCUUAGAAGCCCUGAGUGCUGAGAAGCUAACUAUGCCGGAUAAAAUAUUAAAGAAGCUCUCUUUGUGUUAACAGAGUUAUUUCUCAACAUUCAUGCAAGACUUAGUACCCCACUUUGGUGAAAGUACUACUGUAGGAUCAUAGUUUCCUGGUGAGAAAUAUUGUUGCAAACUAUCAAUAAAGCAUAUGUGUGUUUAUAGGAAAAGGAAGAAAAGAGUAACAAGAAAGUACAAACAUUCGUUAUUAUUUUUUAAUCACCACCAUUAAAAUCUUUUGCUUACUUCCCUCUAUUUCUUUGUGGCAUGUGUUCAAAGAUCUACAAUGUGGUGUACUGUGUUAUUGUUUUUGGCUCAAUGCUAUAUUUAAGCAAUAAGAAGUAUUUUAGUUUCCUUUUUUCCUUGAUAAUCUAACAGCUAUUGGAGUGCAUAAAGUUUAGGGUCCACUGUCUUUCAUUGCAGAUUCGUUCUUACAGGUCAAAUUGAAUUUGGUUUCUGCAGAGCAUUCAAGGUCUCAAGGCUAUCUCAGACUCUGCUGCCUUUUGUCACUUGAUUUUCAAUUUACUGGAAGAAAGUAUAUUCCUGCUGGUCAUGAGUAACUUCUUGUUCCUACGUUUAUGAGAUUUAUAAGGGCCAAAGUUAUUUAUUGAUGACCAUAUGUCACCUCCUAGAGAUGAGUACCUGGUCAGAUGAUGCAUAAAUGACUCUUAAAAUAAAUAUUUGACUAUCUAUGGAAAGGCAAAUUAGCCUGGUUAGAUUACAAGAAAUAUUUUCUUUCUUGGUGUUUUUUCUUUAUUCUUUAUUUUUUGUUACUUUGAUAUUAACAUUGCUUUUAU
rnacentral:lncRNA from 10 species